CUACGGGGGGCAGCAGUGGGGAAUAUUGGACAAUGGGGGAAACCCUGAUCCAGCAAUGCCGCGUGUGUGAAGAAGGCCUGCGGGUUGUAAAGCACUUUCGGUUGGGAGGACUGCUUCUAGCACUAAUAUUGUUGGAAGUUGACGUUACCUUCAGAAGAAGCACCGGCUAACUCCGUGCCAGCAGCCGCGGUAAUACGGAGGGUGCAGCGUUAAUCGGAAUUACUGGGCGUAAAGCGCGCGUAGGCGGCUAGAUCAGUCGUGUGUGAAAGCCCCGGGCUUAACCUGGGAACUGCAUCCGAUACUGUCUAACUUUCGUACAGGAGAGGAGAGUGGAAUUCCACAUGUAGCGGUGAAAUGCGUAGAUAUGUGGAGGAAGACCAAUGGCGAAGGCAGCUCUCUGGCCUGAUACUGACGCUGAGGUGCGAAAGCGUGGGGAGCAAACAGGAUUAGAUACCCCAGUAGUC
rnacentral:rRNA from 1 species